GUGAAGACGAAAGAUAAGAUAAGGGCUCCUUUAUUCCUGUCGAGCUUGGCAUCCUGAGGGCUGCGGUGACAGUGACGGGAGAGUCUAAAAUGGUGGACAGACGUGGAAGAUGAUCUGUUCUUUUCUCUUUUCUACAAGGAUUCUAUCUGAUUGGAGCCCUAUUUUAAGGGACUCAGAAGGCGAAGAAUGAUUUGGUCCGGCACCCAAACAUGGUAUUCCCUACAACUAAUGUAGCAGAGAAAAUAAACACUAUUUCACUCAGGGCUCUACGUCUUUUAUGCAGAUCUGUGAGCCUGCAUAAAAUGUUCAAGUAUUUUCUUAUUUCUCUAUUUUUCA